AUUGAACGCUGGCGGCAGGCCUAACACCUGCAAGUCGAACGAGUGGCGGACGGGUGAGUACUGUCUGGGAAACUGCCCGAUGGAGGGGGAUACCUACUGGAAACGGUAGCUAAUACCGCCUACCAUCUGAUGUGCCCAGAUGGGAUUAGCUAGUCGGUGGGGUAACGGCUCACCUCGGCGCCGAUCCCUAGCUGGUCUGAGAGGAUGACCAUCCACACUGGAACUGAUACACGGGCCAGACUCCUACGGGAGGCAGCAGGGGGGAAUAUUGCACAAUGGGCGAAAGCCUGAUGCAGCCAUGCCGCGUGUAUGAAGAAGGCCUUCGGGUUGUAAAGUACUUUCAGCGAGGAGGCGUUACUCGCAGAAGAAGCACCGGCUAACUCCGUGCCAGCAGCCGCGGUAAUAC
rnacentral:rRNA from 1 species